GCUCAGUAACACGUGGAUAACCUGGCCCUAAGGAAGGGGAUAACCCCGGGAAAACUGGGGAUAAUACCCUAUAGACUACAGAUGCUGGAAUGCUCUGUAAUCGAAAGUUCCGACGCCUUAGGAUGGAUCUGCGGCCGAUUAGGUUGUUGUCGGGGUAAUGGCCCAACAAGCCAGUGAUCGGUACGGGUUGUGGGAGCAAGAGCCCGGAGUUGGAUUCUGAGACACGAAUCCAGGCCCUACGGGGCGCAGCAGGCGCGAAAACUUUACAAUGCGGGCAACCGUGAUAAGGGAACCUCGAGUGCCUGUAUAUGCAGGCUGUCCAGGUGUCUAAAACACACCUGAAGAAAGGGCCGGGCAAGACCGGUGCCAGCCGCCGCGGUAAUACCGGCGGCUCGAGUGGUGGCCACUUUUAUUGGGCUUAAAGCGUUCGUAGCUGGGUUGUUAAGUCUCUUGGGAAAUCUGGCGGCUUAACCGUCAGGCGUCUAAGGGAUACUGGCAAUCUUGGAACCGGGAGAGGUGAGGGGUACUUCGGGGGUAGGAGUGAAAUCCCUGUAAUCCUCGAGGGACCACCUGUGGCGAAGGCGCCUCACCAGAACGGCUUCGACAGUGAGGGACGAAAGCUGGGGGAGCAAACCGGAUUAGAUACCCGGGUAGUCCCAGCCGUAAACGAUGCGCGUUAGGUGUAUCGGUGACCACGAGUCACCGAGGUGCCGAAGGGAAACCGUGAAACGUGCCGCCUGGGAAGUACGGUCGCAAGG
rnacentral:rRNA from 1 species